rnacentral:rRNA from 1 species
AAUGAACGCUGGCGGCGCGCCUAAUACAUGCAAGUCGAGCGAGAAGACGUAGCAAUACGUUUGUAAAGCGGCGAACGGGUGAGGAAUACAUGGGUAACCUACCCUCGAGUGGGGAAUAACUAGCCGAAAGGUUAGCUAAUACCGCGUACGCUUCUUGGACUUCGGUUCAGGGAGGAAAGCGAUGCCGAGGGUAUCGCGCUCUUGGAUGGGCUCAUGUCCUAUCAGCUUGUUGGGAGGUAACGGCUCACCAAGGCUUCGACGGGUAGCUGGUCUGAGAGGACGAUCAGCCACACUGGCACUGCGACACGGCCCAGACUCCUACGGGAGGCAGCAGUGGGGAAUCUUGCGCAAUGGGCGAAAGCCUGACGCAGCGACGCCGCGUGAGGGAUGACGG